CAGGUCUAUGUCUCUCCUAUACUGAGGACUCCAUAUCUGGACGCAGUAUUCCAGGUGAGGCCUCACCAACAUAGAGGAGCAGGAUCACCUUAAUCUUAAUCAUUAAUCAUUAUAUAUGUUAAUUUGCACAUGCAUUUUAAAAUGUAUUUGUAAAUAUUUAUAAAUGCAUGUGCAUCUUAUAUGCAUUUAUAAGCACAAAUAUUAAUACCAUAUGAUUUAUGAAAGCAAAAACUGGAACCAGAUCUACCAACAAUGCCUCUUCUUAUUGGGUCUUAAAACUUUCCUUUGAGAGAAUGUUCAGGUCUGUGGGUUACUCUCAUAGACUUCCGAAAGUCUAUGAGAGUUCUCUCAUAGUUUCCGAAAGUCUAAGGGUUACUUUUCAGACAGUAAAAUGAAAAUACAGUUUUAGUUAAGAAGGGCAAGUUCCAAGAGGUCAUUUUUCCUGAUACAAUGAUCACUGCAGGAAACAACUUGAGCUGUGAACUCUGAGGUGUAACAUAAUCCUCGCUGGCCUAAAGUCUUGUUAUUUGUAUUUUUCUCUCCUAAUUUUUCUGCAUCUUGGUUACAUCUACUUUGUGUCAAAGAGUUAUAAAUAAAACACACGGAAAAUCUUCCAUAUGUGUGACAAGACAAAAAUAGGCAAGAAAUAACAUUACUGCAGACAGUUAAGCAAAGCUGCAGGAAUGUAAGUUGUUACAGAUUUUCUGCAAUGUCACAAAAAUACAUAUGAACAAUAUCCUAUCUUAGGCAUCAAAAUUUUUGACAACUGUCAAUUUAAAUUUUCUAUUGACUUUUGUUGUUGAUUGUUUUGGGCUUUUUGCCCAAACUUCAUUUUCCUCCUGUUGUUCAGAUUAAGGAAAACUGAAUACAGACCUCAGCGCUAUAAGUUUUGGAAACCAUUUGUGUUCCACUGAUGAAACUUCUGAGUUCAUUGCUUCAGGCCCUAGGCAAAGGACCCUGUUCAAAUAGCCUCUCUCUAUCCCAAGUAGGGUUUAAGUCGUCUGAAGAGCAAUGCCUCCAGUGGAUAUAAACUUUGUUAAACUUUCCUGAGCAUAUGUGAAACUAUCAAUGUGGAAUGUUUAUAAAGCCCAGGCCCAUAGGAUUAGAGAAAUGGGUUUUUUUCACAUCUUCAUCUGAUUUAAGGACAGUUAUGGGUUAUGCAUACCAGUUUCACGAAGUACUACAUUCAGACCUAAGUUUAGGUGCUUAUGUUCAAAAGAGAGUAUCUGUCUUUGGAGUUCUCUGUUGUCUCUUUAGCCUGAGGUGUUGUGAAUCUCAUACAUAGAUCUGCUGACAGAGUGAGUGUACAUGUCUCCUAGGCACCUCUAGCUCAUGAACUGCUCUUCUGGAAAAGAGUACUAUGCUAUAAUUCUCAAAUAUCUAGCUUGAAAAUUUCACUCAUCAGCCCCACUAAAACUAAAUGUAAUACAACUACCGCAGCAGAAGCAGGUGUCAGAAACUCAAUAAAGUUAUUGUGUUGCUUGACUUAGAUUUACAUGUGUCAUUCCAUAUGGACCACUUUGCGGAGCCUAGAUUCCUCAGAGUCAUUCUGAACCUCAUCUGGAAGUAAUCAAUGUUGUUGAUGAUACCUUCAAAUGAAUUCAAGGAUUCAAUUUAAAAUCAGACGACAGUUGACCCAACUCUUAAUAUAAGAUGAAAGACAUGAAAAAUGUUAAAAAUAUCUUAAAUGACAGAGUCAAAAAGUUAAAGUUCAUUUAUUCAUAAUGUUAUAAUUCUCUGAUUGUUCAACCAUUCCACUGAAACAUUAAAAUUCUAAUAGAACAUUUUUAUUACUGAACAGGAAAACAAUGUUAAAAAUAUCUGCUGAUAUAUUUUCAAUAGUCAAGUAAAAUGAGAUCAAAUUUCACACAGUGUUGAUAGGAUUGCUUCUAGGCAUUCAUUUUAACAGAGUCACCAAGAAUAUUUAGUCAGUCACGGUGAGAAGACCGGAUGUGCCUUUUCAAAAAUGUUCCUUAGCUCUUAUACAAAAACGCAAUUUUAAUUGUAUAGGUACAAUGCCAUAAAAUUAAAUUGCACAAAACAACGUGAAAAACACAUUCUCAGGGAAAAUAUUUAUAUGCUGCUAUUCAUUGUAAAAUCUCAGAGGUAAUACUAAGAUUAUUCACAUUGCAUGGUCAUGCAAACUACAUUUUAAAAUUAUUAAUUAAUUUUAAAUAUUUGCAGCUUUCUGAGUCACCUUCCAUAUAAUCAACAACAUAAUUAUUUCUGUUAAAGAAAACAGCUUUUAAAUUACUUAAGGAAUUCCCAUGUAAUGACAGAAAAUCAGCUGUUAAACUUUUCCUACUUGAAGAAGGUACAUAAACUGUAUCUGCUAAAACCAGGCAGUAUUUAGAAACUCAUUUAGGUUUUAAAUAAUGUUAUUUGAUAUGACAGAUAAGGCUUUCUCUUACCUAUGUUUCGUGGUCUUAUAACUCAUGUGAAAAGCUUCCGUUAUAUUUGCCCUGCAGACAUUUUGGUUUCACAUUAACUUUUCACUUGUUUGUUUGUGUUCACCCUCUUACUAAGAAAAACAAGGUGAAGAAAAGCAGAGCUGCCAACAGAACUUUAUAUGUGCCUUUUUCACACUGAUUGCUCUUGGCUUCCUGUAUGUAAAUGAGAUCAUCAAUGGUAGAAAUCAGAAAAUAAUGAAUUAACAAGAUUGUCUUUCAGUCUUUUACCUUCACAAAUGAAUUAAGGACUGGUUUUUUUCCUUCCAAAAGAGGCAUGUGUAAACAAAAAUCUAUGAAAAUUCUUGAGAGCUUUUUCCUGAGGAUUGGGUGACAAGACUUACAGACGACUUUUCAGAACACUGCACACCAUCAUGAAGGAGAUUUCUGUGAGUUAUUAUUCUGUGGGUAAUAUGUGGUCAAGACUAUGUUCUUUUCUUUCCUACCACACUCGCCUAAAAUGAGAAAGUUACUUAAAAGAAUCCCAGACUACCAAGACCCAGGGGGAAUUAAUACCAUUUAAACUGGAAAGGCUAGAGAAUACUGGUACUCAAGUCUCGAGGAGGAAGUAUAUGAGGGAAGACAGAGCCUGGGAAUACAACCUACUGUUUCCAGAGAUAACAGCUGAUCCUCAUCAAACGCAACUGUCUAGGAAGAAGACUUUGGAAUAUAAAUUGGUCCCACAAAUUUACCAAAUGACUAGAGAGAACUCACACGAACUACAACACUCAUUCUCCCAUGCGUCUAUACUAUGUUUUCCAGGAAGCAAGUUUAAUGUGAAAACACAGAAGAAAGUUACCUAUGUUACUUCUACAGCAGUUGCUACCUCCAGUUGUGUAUGUAUGUAUAUAUGUUUGGUAGUUAGUUGGAUUGUAACACUUGAAAUUGAUUUCAGUUAUGUUUACUGUUUCUUAUGAAACCUAUGACAGCAACAUCUACAGAUUGUGGAAUUAGUACAGAAAGAUUUCUGCUGUAAAAUAUAUCCAGUUAUUGAUCAUCUGUACUCUUUGCAGCUGCUUCCACUUGAUAAGUCCUCUUCCACCAGAAGUAAUUGGAAAUGUUGUAACCAAAGCAUACAAUGAUAAUCUUCGAGUUGCCAUGCAGCACUCAUCCAAAAUCAUUAUGAUAAUAGAACCACAUGAUAUUUACUAUAUCCUGGCAUUUCUCUAGCUGCCCAGUUCCUGAUCAUUGAUUAGACUUAGGAAACAAGAAGAAAAGGAUAGGAUUUAUUAUAGUGUUGAUCAGAAGGUUUUUAUUGGCCAACCACUUUUCAUACUGUCAUUUUCAAUGGAUUGCUCUGACAGGAAAGGUUAUGAAAUUUUAUGGUGAAAAAAAUAGAAAAGAAGAAAUAUAAUUGGUUUGGCUGAAAAGUUCAGAAAGGUCUAGGCACACUGGACAGUUGGAUACUGAUUUUAUUCUACUACAGGGUCACAUUUUGCAAUGACAGCAAAGGACAUUCAGCACUGCAGAUGAUUCAAUUUCUUGUGCCUUGCAUGGACAACAACACAUCUUUUUUAAAAUACAUAUUUUCAAUAAUCUUUCAAAUAAUUUGUCUGAGACAACUGCUUAGAGGUCUGACAUUGAAAUCCAUUAGCUUAUCAAAAUAUUUUCUUCUCCAUAGCAUGUAAAGCUUUAUGCUAGAUAUUGUAAACUUACCAUUGAUUUUCCAAACAGUUGCAAAGAGCUGGGGUAAAAGGAAGGUCAAAUUUUGAAGAAAAAUGGAUGCCUGUAUGUUCUAAUAAGAAAAAUAGGUGGCAGAUAGUAUUUUUAUAGAUUGCAAGCUUUUCGUUUUCAAGGCAUGUUGAGCAGUGCUCUUUUCACUUCAUAACACUCCACAAUAAUACAAAAAUGACUUUGUAUUAAAGGAGAAAUAUAAGAUUUGCCAGUCUUGGAAAGCUUGCUAUUCAUUUCAGUGACUGCAGCACAUGACUUGUUUUUUCCCCUCUUGAACAUAAGUGCUUUCACUGCUAUUUUGAAGGAAAAAAGUUUAACAAUGGCGAUGUUUAUCUCAGAGUACUAAAGAGAAUAAUUGUUCCUUAUACACUUAUAUAUUUCAUUCCAAAUAGGUGAGAAAUAUCCAACAAUGGAUUAACAUGAGCUGAAAUUCAAGAUUCGAGCUAGGUACCUCUGUUUUCCAGAUGUCUUAAGCACAUAAAUUAAUAUUCUUGAAAUAGUCACCCACUAGAAGCUCCAGUUCUGAAGUUAAUGGCUUAUCACUGUAGAGGAGAAAGGAAGUUGCCUGGCCGCAUCACCCUAAUUCUAGCUUCUGGAAAAGUAGUUCUGCCACAUGACACAGAACAAGCCACACACAGAGGAAGAGCUGCUACUGUGAGAUUUGGAGGAUUCUUCUUUUCCAUUCACAUGAAGCCAUGAUUUCACCACUCUCACCAGUGUGCCGCUCUAAGGAACUAUUUGGUUUAUGCCUGAAUUCAGUUCUGCUAUUUGGAUACAAACGUGUAAGGAAUAUCUAACAAUUCUAAUGCAGUAAUAACAACACUGUGCUUUACCUUUAGAUUAUAGAGAUUGUAACAGAUGUUUUAACUGGAGCACUGCUAUUAAAAACACAAUAAGUAUACAGGAAAAAAUAUUGUUAACAGUGUAGCUUAGGGAACUGGAUUAACCUGGGGACUCAAACUCUGGUGCCAAUCUCUUUGAUUAACAAUGCAGGGAUGGCUACUCAGCAUGAAGUUACUCCAUAACAGCCAAUUUUGCUCUUACCACAAAAUGAGAAAAUAACGUAACUCCCAGUUUGGAGCCUGGGAAGUAGCUGGUAUAACAAUGGGAGAUGAUUAGGCUAUGAAACUCAAGCCAUGCUUAUUGCAUGAUUUAAAUCAUUGACUAAAUCCCUUCCAAUCAUCUUCUGCAGUGUUUUUCCCAUGUUUUUUUUCUUUUCAGAGAUUUUCAUUUCUCACCUUUCCCAAGAGAAGUUAUGCUUUUUGUUGUUUCUGCUUCUGUACCUUGUAUGGCUCUACCAGUUUCAAAGACAGUUAUGCAGUUCCACAAGACAAUAAAACUGCCUUGACAAUACCACACAGCUGUAAAGUUUUCUUGUGAGUGUUACGAUGACAUUUUCUCCAUUAGCUGCACAGGGCAAAUUACUUGGUGAUGAAAAAUAGCUAGAUUAGAGCAAAGUUCUUUGACUAAAACUGCAGUUUUGAUCAUGGAACAAGGUACCAGAUAAAUCUGAAAAUUCAGUUACACAGGGAAUAAGAAUAUGAGUUUCUCUAUGCUCAUAUUGUGUUUAAGCAGACUACGCAAUUCAUGAACUCUGCAGAAAUUAAUGCACAAACCCAAAAAGCAAUAUCCCUAAAUGAGGUGACAGCUUGCUUCAUCAUGUAACUGAUUUGAAACCCUCUGAAGGGAUGUUUUUUUUUGUCUUCCUCUAAUUGCAUUUUUCUUUGUUUCGUUUAUUGACAUCAUCAAAUACUGUAAAGCUUUGUUUCUCUUUAGUAAUUUUUUCAACAUUAAACAUUAUUUUAUCUGUAA